rnacentral:rRNA from 1 species
CGCUGGCGGCAUGCCUAACACAUGCAAGUCGAACGAGAUCUUCGGAUCUAGUGGCGCACGGGUGCGUAACGCGUGGGAAUCUGCCCUUUGCUUCGGAAUAACAGUUAGAAAUGACUGCUAAUACCGGAUGAUGUCUUCGGACCAAAGAUUUAUCGGCAAAGGAUGAGCCCGCGUAGGAUUAGGUAGUUGGUGGGGUAAAGGCCUACCAAGCCGACGAUCCUUAGCUGGUCUGAGAGGAUGAUCAGCCACACUGGGACUGAGACACGGCCCAGACUCCUACGGGAGGCAGCAGUGGGGAAUAUUGGACAAUGGGGCGAAAGCCUGAUCCAGCAAUGCCGCGUGAGUGAUGAAGGCCUUCGGGUCGUAAAGCUCUUUUACCAGGGAUGAUAAUGACAGUACCUGGAGAAUAAGCUCCGGCUAACUCCGUG